GGCUGCGGCGAGGCCGGGCAGGCGUGGCGCGCGAGGCGGCGGCGACCGGGCGCAGCGGUCGGGCGCGGGGAGCCGGGCUCAGCCCGGGCCUGCGUGAGCCGCGGGGCUCGCCCACCAGCUCGGCCUGGGGUGCGCCGGGCGCGCGGAGCGCCCAGUGCGCGUGGCGCCGGGCCCUGCAUCCGGCAGGAGCGCGGGCGCGGCUGAGCGCCGGGCAUGGAGCCGGCCCGAGAGCCCCCCGCGCGGGUCCGGCCGCCGCCGCCCGCCGCCCGCCCCGCGCCCGCCGCCGCCCCCGCCGCGCCCAGGCCGCGCUCGCCCGCGGAGGCGGAGGCCCGCGGCCCCGAGGGGCUGCUGCGGCGGUCGGGCUCCGGCUACGAGGGCAGCACCAGCUGGAAGGCGGCCUUGGAGGACACCACCACCCGUCUCCUGCUCGGGGCCAUUGCCGUCCUUCUGUUCGCCAUCCUGGUGGUGAUGAGCAUCUUGGCCUCCAAGGGCUGCAUCAAGUGCGAAGCGCCCUGCCCCGAGGACUGGCUGCUCUACGGGAGGACGUGCUACUACUUCUCCGAGGAGCCGAGGGACUGGAACACGGGCCGGCAGUACUGCUACAGCCACGAGGCCGCCCUGGCCGUGAUUCAGAGCCCCAAGGAGCUGGAAUUUUUGUUCAAGUUCACGCGGAGGGAGCCCUGGAUUGGCCUGCGCAGAGUGGGAGACGAAUUCCACUGGGUCAACGGGGAACCGUUUGACCCGGACACAUUCUCCGUCGCGGGCCUGGGCGAGUGCGUGUUCGUGGAGCCCACCAGGCUGGUGUCCACGGAGUGUCUGAUGACCCGGCCGUGGGUGUGCAGCAAGAUGGCCUACACGUGAGGACCCAGCUGGAGCCUCCCUGCAAUGCCUUCGGGACAGCAGCAGCCCUCAGUGACCACUCUUUCCCCAGCACCUCCGGCACUUAACACUGAGCCUUUCACAUGGCCCGUCUGUCACCUGUGACUGGUUUCUUCAUGUCACCUGACCGCGCCUGUCAUCUGAUUAUAAACCCCUGGUGAGCAGGGAUGGUGUGUUGUUGGCCUCUUGGGCACACAACACGCACUCAAAGAUCGUUGUACGUGACAAUGAGAUUGCACAGAACGUCACCGUUUGUCACAGUGGGAGAGCGUGGUGGACGCCAUCGUCAGAAGACUUUUCUUUUUGGCCUUGGUGGGCAUGGCCUGAUUUUUAGAGCCGAGGCCUGGUUUCCAGAAAUGCCCACCGUCUGCUGAGUGCUUACAGCAGGAGGGGUGGAGGUGGAGGAGGUAGCUGCCUCUUUCCUCUUCCUGGUCUGUAGCCAGCCCCAAGCUGGGAGUGAGUAUGAGACUGAAACAGGGGCAUCCAGGAAGCCUCCUGCCACCCCAUCCGAGAUCCCAUCUCUCUGCUAAGGCAGCCUGACUCCAAAGACCUGCCCUGGGCUAGUUGGGGGCUAGCUCUUCCCAACAAGCAGUUGUGUAGCUCAGCCUGCUGUGCUGAACCUCUCUCACCCCAGGCUUCACCUCUGUAACGUAGAACCUAACAGGGUUUUGAGAAUUGUAGAUGUUAGCAUUUCAGGGGUUAGAAAUGAGUGACCCCAUUUUCACUCCCCAUGAGGCCCAGAGAGGUUAAGUAACAUGUCCAAGGUCACACAGCUAGUGGUCACAGAGCUCUGGCUCUCCUGUUUAUUCUCUUAUUACUGCACGGAUCAUGCUUUGUUUACUUGUGCGCCAGCCCUGUGGAAAUGUAAGCUCCUAGAGGGCCGGGAUCCCCGCACACACUGGUUUCUCUAGCGCCUGGUACAUGCAGAAGGUGCUCAAUAAAUGU